CUGCACACGCUCAGGCGGUGACACGUUGCAGACAUCGCUGUGCUUCAGAAAGAGCUGGGCGGCAAGAUUCACACAACAGCAGCCUGAGAAGACACAGAAUUCCAUGAAUUGCAGCCCAGAGACCCCCCAGCCCUGCCGGCUCGCCUCCUGCCUCCCGCCUCCUAGCGUGCUCUGAGGUGGAGACCAGCUGCUGCCCCGUGCCUGCCCCGCCUCCCUGGGCCAUGCUGCCUUGCAGACUCUGCUGCUCGGUGUGGUCGGGGGCCUGGGUCGGCCCCAGGGUGAAUGAGUGAUGGGUUCCACCCUAAACUGGCUGUGGAGACCUUCCACACACUUUCCUCCCCUCCACGAGCUCUAGGGCAGGGCAAGCUUGGAAGCCAAGGGCUGGCAGAGGCCGAGCCAGCCUGGAUCUCAGAGUGGCCACACGGAGCAGAGCCACACUCCACCUCAGGACGCUGCACUGGAUAUGAGUGAGAAACAAACUUUCUUGGGUUAAGUUGUUAAGAUUUCGGGGAUGUGUUUAAAGUCCCUAGUGUUCUUUUUACUGUCCACUGCCUGUCUCCAGGAGGGGCCCGGGGGCAGGCACUGAAGCCCCCGCAGUCUACAGGCCUCUGGCACUCAGACAGGAGCUCUGCUCUCAGAAAAGCAGGCAGGCUGGCAUUCGGCACAUCCUUGGAAGCGGGUGGUGCGAGACUCUGCCCUCUACCCUCUGCCCUCUGCCCUCUGCCCUGGCGUUGAGUGCUUUGCUGGGACUGCGGCUCCCUGGCCCCCUCUCUUGCCCCACAUGUGGAUUCGCACAGACCCUGCAGCAUCCCCCUCCCUUUCUCCUCCUCUUUUCUCUUUACUCAGGAAUAUCCCAUCUUAG
rnacentral:lncRNA from 10 species